GACGAACGCUGGCGGCGUGCCUAAUACAUGCAAGUAGAACGCUGAAGGAGGAGCUUGCUUCUCUGGAUGAGUUGCGAACGGGUGAGUAACGCGUAGGUAACCUGCCUGGUAGCGGGGGAUAACUAUUGGAAACGAUAGCUAAUACCGCAUAAUAGUAGAUGUUGCAUGACAUUUGCUUAAAAGGUGCAAUUGCAUCACUACCAGAUGGACCUGCGUUGUAUUAGCUAGUUGGUGGGGUAACGGCUCACCAAGGCGACGAUACAUAGCCGACCUGAGAGGGUGAUCGGCCACACUGGGACUGAGACACGGCCCAGGCUCCUACGGGAGGCAGCAGUAGGGAAUCUUCGGCAAUGGACGGAAGUCUGACCGAGCAACGCCGCGUGAGUGAAGAAGGUUUUCGGAUCGUAAAGCUCUGUUGUAAGAGAAGAACGAGUGUGAGAGUGGAAAGUUCACACUGUGACGGUAUCUUACCAGAAAGGGACGGCUAACUACGUG
rnacentral:rRNA from 1 species